rnacentral:lncRNA from 10 species
UAUUUUACAUUUUGGGGUAAAUGUUUAAUCAAACAUUUACAGAAAAGUCACAGGUAGAGUACAAAGAAUGUUUUCGCUGGGCCAUCUGAAAGUCCGCUGCUGAAUUUGCUCCUCACUCCACAUCCUCGAGUGCAUUUUACAAACCGGGAAGUUUUUCGCCUCACGUAACCCAGCACAGCCGUCCCGGGGCAGGGCACGCCUCGGGGUCAGACCCCAGCCUGGGCUUCCCCGUGGCCCAGUGAUGUCCCUCGCAGGAAGGAGAUCAGCCUGGGACCACACAUUGCAGCGAGCUCUCAUUGUGUCUUCAGUCUCCGUCGGUCUGGAACAUUCCCGGGCCUUUCCCUGACUGCCAUGGUCCUGGCGUCUUCGAAGCUUCCAGGCCAGGCCUUUCAGGGAAGGUUCCCCCGUGUGGCCGUGUCUGAGGUCUCAUCACAGAGAGACCCGGGUUACGCAUCUUUGGCAGGAGAGGCAUGGAUGCGACGCUCAUGCCUUUCAUGGAUGGCUCUGCUCAGCCCACGCUGCCAGGUGGGGCAGGAUUUUCACUGACCCAGAACCAGUGGAGUCCACCGUGAGGCUGGUGGCGCGUCUCCGUGGGGAGCUGACUCCUCCUCCCUCUGCCCUCCAUGGGGGAAGUGCCUCCAUCCUGCCCCAGCCUGGAUCCGCCGCUUCUCCAGGGAACCCCGGUUCUUUUCAGACGCGCACCUGGGUACUGUGUCCGCUCCUGCCUGCUGGGGAGCCGCUGCCCACGGGCCCUGCCAGAGCCGGAGAGUGCACACACACGCAUGCGCACACACGCACGCACACGCACUCCUGCGCGGGCACGCACACACACGCACGCACACGCACACCUGCGCGGGCACGCACAGUCAUGUGCACGCACACACAGCCAUGUGUACGCAGACAUGCACACAAACGCACAGGUUCACUUUCUAUGAUGCAAACCCCCAGUCCACACCCCUGAGUGCCAGCCCACGGGUUCCUUCUUGUCCCCACUUCUUUGUGUCCACAGGCCCUGCUGCACCCCUCAGCACAGGGACACCCCAUGGAUGCUGCCUCCAUCACCCCCUCAGGCCCUGUGCUUGGGGGCUUCCCUGCUCCAUUGGGCCCAACGCCCAGAGCAGGGGCUCGGAGACCCCGCUGGCCACCCCACUUGGCAGGACUUGAUGGCUUUGGGACUGAAUUGUUCCAGGCGGGAAGGGGAGGGAAGAACAGGAAAGAACCUCAGAGAAGAGAAAAGGACCUGUGGAGGAGGAGGGAACCUGAAAGCUUAAGCUUUUACCCAAAAGAGCAGCCACCUCCAAGGAGGCUGCUUAACCCCAAGGGAGGGGUGCUCCACCCGCCUGCCGACCAAAGAGCCCCUCAGCACCCACAAGGCUGCCUGAAGGCAGAGAAUUAGCCUUGCUCCCAGUCCCGGCCCCUCUGACAUCCCUGCUUAGUUUUAGCCACACGCACAUCCCGAAGUCUGAGUUCAUUUCCAUUUUCAUCUACUGUUCUGGCAUUGGAAGCAACAUGAUAUCUUUUUAUACUGUAUUUU